rnacentral:rRNA from 1 species
UACGUAGGGCGCAAGCGUUGUCCGGAAUUAUUGGGCGUAAAGAGCUCGUAGGCGGCCUGUUACGUCUGCUGUGAAAUCCCGGGGCUUAACCCCGGGCGUGCAGUGGAUACGGGCAGGCUGGAGGCAGGCAGGGGAGAACGGAAUUCCCGGUGUAGCGGUGAAAUGCGCAGAUAUUGGGAGGAACACCAGUGGCGAAGGCGGCUCACUGGACCGGUUCUGACGCUGAAGCGCGAAAGCGUGGGGAGCAAACGGG